CGGGACGGGUGAGUAAUGUCUAGGGAAACUGCCUGAGGGAGGGGGAUAACACUGGAAACGGUAGCUAAUACCGCAUAACGUCGCAAGACCAAAGAGGGGGACCUUCGGGCCUCUUGCCAUCGGAUGUGCCCAGAUGGGAUUAGCUAGUAGGUGGGGUAACGGCUCACCUAGGCGACGAUCCCUAGCUGGUCUGAGAGGAUGACCAGCCACACUGGAACUGAGACACGGUCCAG
rnacentral:rRNA from 1 species